UUUAGAAUCAAAGCUUUAAGUUUGAAUCUGAUACUGUUGCAUUUACUAAACAUAUCACUAUGUUAUUCUGGUUUUUAUUUUCCUGUUUUUAUUCCUGAUUAAUUGAUUUCAUAUUUUAACAGAAACGAAUGUGGGAAAUCAAUGGACCAAGGGGGCAGUACUUUUCCUCAUGGACACUUAUGCUGAACAUAAGGAGCAAUUUGCAAUUCCAACUUGAAAAUAGAGGUAUGGAAGAGGAUUGCUUCGGAAAUGGCAUCCUCAGGAUGCCACUUUGCUCCAGCAGCACUUGAGAAAAAAAUGGAGCAAUAUGAAAAUAUGGUACAAAGCUAUAUUAGAUUUCAACAAGAAAACGGGCCAGGGAAGAUCACGAUGGAAUUUCUAUUCCAGAAUGGCUGAAAUCUUGGAAGGAGACCCUUUGUUCAUCCCACCACUGACAUCAUCAUCACUGGGGAGUGUAAAAGUAAACACUCUCUCCGAGAUCUCCAAUACCCAGCAAUGUGCCACCCCUACAAAGAAGCAAG